UUUUAUUCUGUGUCAGUGACCCUCAGCCAGGAUGCAUACAUUUAUUUGUAUUUUACAUUGUAAAGAAAGUACAUAUUUCAUGUUAUGGGGUCAGUUCACUCUUCAUUAGAAAAACAAAGUUUUGACUCUUGAACAGUACCAUGGAGGUUUCAUCUGUCUGCAAUGAUGGAAGCUUGUGCUGCUUAAAGCAACUGAACACAUAGGGUGGAAAAAAUCAACACCAAAGUGUGUUUCCAGAAAGGAAUAGGCCCUGUUAUUCUGUGUAAUCCAAAUCCUUGAUGUGGACACAAAUAGUCAAAGUGAAAACUGUGGAUAAUGGAUAAUCCAGAGUGAUAACUAUUCAAACACUGUGGGCACCAAAAUGCCAUUUUUCUCACUGCCAUUACUGGGAUGGUGGGAGAAAUCUCAGAGAGCGACUCACAGCAGAAUUAGAUCCAUAUUUCUGAGGGUAAAUGCAAGAACAUGUGUGUUUGGAAAUUGCGUGGAUCGACCCUUUAAGAGUAAAUCAUCUCGACAGCUGGAGAACUCGUGUUGAUUUCGACUGUUUUUUGCCUCCGUACAGUGACACAGAUGAUACCCUCACACUUCAAGUAGAACAUUUGGUGCUCUUUGAGGUUACCAUAGCUACCACAACACAGCAAGGCCGGAUGUCCAUAGUGGUGAUCAGCUCGUAACUGGUGGUGCAUCUGCGAUUUCUUUGUCGAAACAGUCCGAACGAACAAGUCAUUUCAUGGUGAAGAUCACUGCAAAGAGAUGAGCAAAGCUGUAAAAUAGCCUACAUAACCGAGUGACCAACUUUUAAUUCUUAAAGUCUUCCACUUCUACAAACGCGUUGAAGCCCACGAACGACAGCCAACGUGAUUGAUUUCUGCUUCUGUCAUCCACAAGACACAACAACGUAUGAAGGUUUCAACGCAGGCGGCUUGAUGACGCUUCGUCACAGAAUAACACACGCUAAUAGUAUUUAGGCAUUUUCAGGGCAGCAACAGAGGUUUGCAACACCCCGAUGUGGGCCUGUGCUUGAGCCGCAUGUCUGUACAGAGUUUCCUUGAGGUGUCCCAAGUGGUCAAAGGCAUCAGAGGAACAUGUUUAAGAGAAAAGACACCCAUGAUUUAUUAUUCUUUUGGGUCGGUGUUGAACCAAGCCAGAGAUAAAGGCCUGUGAAUCAUGGAGUCAAAUGAAUUUCGAGACAAAUUACUUCAUUUGUGGUCGAGGCUAGACUAGUUUUAGCAUUUGGCUUUCAGUGUCUGUCUCGCACUGUCUGGUCAGCUCAACUGUAUUUACCGAAAGCUUUAUUCAUAUUAAUCACAUUCUGAAGCCCACUGAUAUUUCCAGACAAUUACCAUUGGCAGGAUCUCAUAUCAUCGUGAUCGUUCCUGGAACACCAUCAUUUAAUGUUUCCUCACGACUGUCAUUGCCACUAACCAGUGUGGGAAAGAGUACUAAAAAUCUGCACUCAAAUUAACUGUUGUUAAAAAUACACUUAUGUAAAAGUACAAAGUAUUCUCGAUCACCUCGUUAGCUGCCAAAAUGCAGAUGAAAGGGUGAGAUAGAAAUUCAAACUGUACUCAGUACCCAGUCAUGUUUUUAAGUGUCAAAUGUCACGUGGCUGUCAUCUAGUUUGUGUGUUUUAUAUGUGUCUUCUGGGUUUUGUGGUGUCUUAUACCCUUCUGUUUUCUUGAUCUUCUCAUCGGCCGGACUUUCCCUCCACAGGUGUCUUGUAUGCUUGAUUAGCCCCGCCCUCUUACCUGAGUUCUUCCCAUGGCUGCUUUCCCUCCACACCCUCUGCAUCUGCCUCAUGAGCCCGUCUCUCCUUCCGGUGUUUUUUCUUUCAUCUCCCUCACCUAUGUCACUCCACCUCACUCCACCUGCAUCUCAUCCCCUUGUUAGUUUAGUUUGUGUCAAGGUCCCAUCUUUGCCUGUCCCUUGCGUUACCUUGAUCCUGAGUAAACGUUGCCCAGCUAUCUUCAUGCCUGCCGUCUACUGCAUUUGGCUCCCAACUUCUCUGCUUCCAAAACAGUAACUGAGUCGAUGACAUGGUGUAAUGUGUACCUAAGUAUGUGUAAAAUUACAGACUUGAAAUAUAAUCGUAGAAGUUUAAGUAACCAAGGAAAUUACUUAAUCAGCCUAAUUUGAGUGGGUGUAUAAUUAGUUACUUCCAGCCCUGUCAAACAGCGACAGAACACUUAACGGUAUAAUGACGUGUUCCCUUCAGGAAAUGAGCCCAGAUUUGUGAAUGAGAGCCCUGUACAGGCCCGGUUCUAGACUGCCUUGAUUGGGGGGGGCAGUAAGAAAUGCUGAUGGGUCACCGACUGCUACUGUUUUGAGUGCCAUUAGGAUGAUGUUUUUUUGCAUGCCUACCAGUCAAUGGUGCCAACCCAGACGUAAGCAUCGCAGAUUGGCCAUGGUUCCAUCGGCAAAGCUCUAACAGAUUAGCCGCUGUCAGGGCGGGGCUAGCAAUGAUUGAAAGUUGAAACCCUGGAUUUGUGGAGAAAAAGGACACUCGACCAGCUGACAGACUAAUAUUGCCGUUCAUAGUCCUCCAUGGAGGAGGCUGUUGGAAAGACCCCCACCCAACAAAUGGUUCAGUCCAUCCCCACCUGACCACAACAGCUCCAAGGGGAAAUGUUUUUUGACCAGACAAGUCUACAAAACCUUUUUGCCAAGCUCUUUGAACUGGGAGGAUUUGCCUUUCUCUGAAAGUCUGACAGAGUUUUUGUGUGAGGAAAACAAAAAAUGUAGACAUUGUUUGUGAAACAAAGCCACAUCUAAAUGUGCAAAAUCAGAAAGAAACAACCUGGAAAUCAGAUCACAAGUCAAGAACUCACCAAUUACCUCAUCUCCUGUUUGUCAAACUAACACAGAGAUAACUUUUGGCUGCAACUGUCAUUUUCUCUUCCCCUGAUUGCUCUCCACUUGAUCGGCUGUAACGUAAGUUUGUUAGUGAUUGGGUACUGCUGCUACAUCCAAGGACCAAAUUAAAAUAUCAAAUUCU